rnacentral:tmRNA from 1 species
CUGGAUUCGACGGGAUUUGCGAAACCCAAGGUGCAUGCCGAGGGGCGGUUGGCCUCGUAAAAAGCCGCAAAAAAUAGUCGCAAACGACGAAAACUACGCUUUAGCAGCUUAAUAACCUGCUUAGAGCCCUCUCUCCCUAGCCUCCGCUCUUAGGACGGGGAUCAAGAGAGGUCAAACCCAAAAGAGAUCGCGUGGAAGCCCUGCCUGGGGUUGAAGCGUUAAAACUUAAUCAGGCUAGUUUGUUAGUGGCGUGUCCGUCCGCAGCUGGCAAGCGAAUGUAAAGACUGACUAAGCAUGUAGUACCGAGGAUGUAGGAAUUUCGGACGCGGGUUCAACUCCCGCCAGCUCCAC